GGAUGUAGCUUAGCAGUAGAGCACCUGUCUGGCAAGCAUGAGGCCCUGAGUUUGAUUCUCAGUACCA
rnacentral:tRNA from 1 species